GAUGAACGCUGGCGGCGUGCCUAAUACAUGCAAGUCGAGCGAACGGACGAGAAGCUUGCUUCUCUGAUGUUAGCGGCGGACGGGUGAGUAACACGUGGAUAACCUACCUAUAAGACUGGGAUAACUUCGGGAAACCGGAGCUAAUACCGGAUAAUAUUUUGAACCGCAUGGUUCAAAAGUGAAAGACGGUCUUGCUGUCACUUAUAGAUGGAUCCGCGCUGCAUUAGCUAGUUGGUAAGGUAACGGCUUACCAAGGCAACGAUGCAUAGCCGACCUGAGAGGGUGAUCGGCAACACUGGAACGGAGACACGGUCCAGACUCCUACGGGAGGCAGCAGUAGGGAAUCUUCCGCAAUGGGCGAAAGCCUGACGGAGCAACGCCGCGUGAGUGAUGAAGGUCUUCGGAUCGUAAAACUCUGUUAUUAGGGAAGAACAGAUGUGUAAGUAACUGUGCACAUCUUGACGGUACCUAAUCAGAAAGCCACGGCUAACUACGU
rnacentral:rRNA from 1 species